UCCGACACUUUUCAGCCUGCUAUUCCCCUUCCAUUUAUAUAUGUUCUAAGGGUGCACCCGAGUGGGGAAUCGGACCAUAAAUCCUAUGCUGUGUUCCGAUUCCCCACCCGGGUGCACCCAAUUAUAGUAUAUGUCACGUAUACUAUAAUAUCGGGUGCACCCGGGUGGGGAAUCGGAACACAGCCCUACGUGAUAGAAAAAUAAUAGUGACAUUUGUCGAGUGAAUUUGCAUGAUUUACAUCUUUUUGUUUCUUAUAUAAAAUUGUUUAAUGAUUCACGAUUUUCUUCCACUGUCUUGUCAUGAUUUCUUUUGUUUAAUGAUCUCGAAUUUAUGGAUUUAUGUGAAUGCCCAUUUUGAAAAACUUCCAUAUCAUUUAUGUCAUUUUCUGAUCCGUGGAAAAAAUGCUUUGAUUUUCAUACAUUGUUACAAGCGUCGUUUUAAUAGUUUGCCAAUUCCACGCUUGUGGCAAAUAAUGUGUGUGAACAGUAUGCAACAAUGU